rnacentral:rRNA from 1 species
AUUGAACGCUGGCGGCAGGCCUAACACAUGCAAGUCGAACGAGUGGCGGACGGGUGCGUAAUGUCUGGGACACUGCGCGAUGGAGGGGGAUAAAUAGUGGAAACGGUAGCUAAUACCGCAUACCAUCGGAUGUGCCCAGGUGGGAUUAGCUAGUAGGUGGGGUAAUGGCCCACCUAGGCGACGAUCCCUAGCUGGUCUGAGAGGAUGACCAGCCACACUGGAACGGAGACACGGUCCAGACUCCUACGGGAGGCAGCAGUGGGGAAUAUUGCACAAUGGGCGCAAGCCUGAUGCAGCCAUGCCGCGUGUAUGAAGAAGGCCUUCGGGUUGUAAAGUACUUUCAGCGGGGAGGCGUUACCCGCAGAAGAAGCACCGGCUAACUCCGUGCCAGCCGCCGCGGUAAUUC